AACGAACGCUGGCGGCAUGCCUAACACAUGCCAGUCGAACGAGACCUUCGGGUCUAGUGGCGCACGGGUGCGUAACGCGUGGGAACCUGCCCUUAGGUUCGGAAUAACUCCCCGAAAGGGGUGCUAAUCCCGGAUAAUGUCUUCGGACCAAAGAUUUAUCGCCUUUGGAUGGGCCCGCGUUGGAUUAGCUAGUUGGUAGGGUAAAAGCCUACCAAGGCGACGAUCCAUAGCUGGUCUGAGAGGAUGAUCAGCCACACUGGGACUGAGACACGGCCCAGACUCCUACGGGAGGCAGCAGUGGGGAAUAUUGGACAAUGGGCGAAAGCCUGAUCCAGCAAUGCCGCGUGAGUGAUGAAGGCCUUAGGGUUGUAAAGCUCUUUUACCCGGGAUGAUAAUGACAGUACCGGGAGAAUAAGCUCCGGCUAACUCCGUG
rnacentral:rRNA from 1 species